UACGAAGGGUGCAAGCGUUAAUCGGAAUUACUGGGCGUAAAGGGUGCGUAGGCGGUUCGUUAAGUCUGUCGUGAAAUCCCCGGGCUCAACCUGGGAAUGGCGAUGGAUACUGGCGAGCUAGAGUGUGUCAGAGGAUGGUGGAAUUCCCGGUGUAGCGGUGAAAUGCGUAGAGAUCGGGAGGAACAUCAGUGGAGAAGGCGGCCAUCUGGGACAACACUGACGCUGAAGCACGAAAGCGUGGGGAGCAAACAGG
rnacentral:rRNA from 1 species